rnacentral:rRNA from 1 species
UGAUGGUCGGGACCGCGGUCGAUUGUAAUUUGUAGAAGGUGCUUCGGGUGCGACCCCGGUCCAAGUCCCUUGGAACAGGGUGUCCUAGAGGGUGAGAAUCCCGUAUGCGGCCGAUGGUCAGGCCCAUGUGAAGCCCUUUCGACGAGUCGAGUUGUUUGGGAAUGCAGCUCUAAAUGGGUGGUAAAUUUCAUCUAAAGCUAAAUAUCUGUCGAAGACCGACAGCGCACAAGUAGAGUGAUCGAAAGAUGAAAAGCACUUUGAAAAGAGAGUCAAACAGUACGUGAAAUUGUUGAAAGGGAAGCGCUUGCAACCAGACUCGCUCGCGGGUGCUCAGCCGUCCUUAGGGGCGGUGCAUUCUCCCGCGGCCGGGCCAGCAUCGGUUUCGAGAACUAUAUAAAAGCCCUGAUAACGUAGCUCUUCGGAGUGUUAUAGAUCGAGGCAUAAUAUAGCUACUUGAGACCGAGGACCGCGCAUUCGCUAGGAUGCUGGCGUAAUGGUUGCCAGCGACCCGUCUUGAAACACGGACCAAGGAGGUAAGCGAAUUUUUAUCAAUUAAAUUAACUUCAUAUGCUGAUUAAACAUUUAGUCGACCAACCGCGCGAGUGUUUGGGUGCUAAACCCCCGGCGCGAAAUGAAAGUAAAUUUAGGUGGGAGCCUUCGGGUGCACCAUCGACCGAUCCUGAUAUCUUUGGAUGGAUUUGAGUAUGAGCCCGGCUGGUCGGACCCGAAAGAUGGUGAACUAUGCGUGAAUAGGUGAGUUUUAAUCAGCGGAAUUAAUCCUUUUAAUCGCUAACUUUUCAAUCAGGGUGAAGCCAGAGGAAACUCUGGUGGAGGCUCGCAGCGGUUCUGACGUGCAAAUCGAUCGUCAAAUUUGCGCAUAGGGGCGAAAGACCAAUCGAACUAUCUAGUAGCUGGUUCCCGUCGAAGUUUCCCUCAGUAAGUACCAAUUUUUCUCCUUAUAACAAAUGCUAAUCCUUUAAAAGGGAUAGCAGCAACGGAGACAGUCUCAUGGUAGGUUUUCCUCGCUAUAUAAUAAUUUUUAUCCACUAAAUUUCUUGCAGAGGUAGAGCAAACGAUUAGAGGUCUUGGGGUCAUAAUUGACCUUAACCUAUUCUCGAACUUCGAAUAUGUGAGAAGUCCUUGUUACUUAGUUGAACGUGGACAUUGGAUUAUCGGCAGUCCU